UACGGGGGGGGCAAGCGUUGUUCGGAAUUACUGGGCGUAAAGGGCUCGUAGGCGGCCAACUAAGUCAGACGUGAAAUCCCUCGGCUUAACCGGGGAACUGCAUCUGAUACUGGAUGGCUUGAGUUCGGGAGAGGGAUGCGGAAUUCCAGGUGUAGCGGUGAAAAUGCGUAGAUAUCUGGAGGAACACCGGUGGCGAAGGCGGCAUCCUGGACCAACACUGACACUGAGGAGCGAAAGCCAGGGGAGCAAACGGGG
rnacentral:rRNA from 1 species